UACGUAGGGUGCUAGCGUUGUUCGGAAUCAUUGGGCGUAAAGCGAGUGCAGGCUGUUAGUUAAGUCGGAUGUGAAAUCCCUGGGCUCAACCGAGGAAGUGCAUUCGAAACUAACUAGCUAGAAGAUGGUAGAGGAAGGUGGAAUUCCAAGUGUAGAGGUGAAAUUCGUAGAUAUUUGGAGGAAUACCGGUGGCGAAGGCGGCCUUCUGGACCAUUCUUGACGCUGAGACUCGAAAGCGUGGGUAGCAAACAGG
rnacentral:rRNA from 1 species